GAUAUUCAAAUUGGCCAAUUUGACAAAGCUUACCGCUAGCUAGCUAGCUAGCUAGCUGCAAACACCGCGUACGGAAGGCUGAACCGAGUUAUCGUGUUGGAAGUUUUGACUGAUUGACUAUCGUGCUUUAUUUCUGUUUAUCUAACAUUUUCAUUAUUUGUUACCUUUGAUUUUAAAUAAAACUAAACUUAUCGCGGCAAUCGCGGACGGUUUGUACUGAGUGAAAUGGAAGGCCCGAGACCCUACGACUUCGAGCCGCAAUACUCGGCCGAAGAAAUUGCUCAACGAGCAGAGGAACGUCGGCGCACGGGUUGCAGCAGCGAGAGAGACAAUAACGGAGCCGAUGUUGAGCCACCGCCACCACCACCAGAUAGACUGGACAACGAUAACUGGUGCAGUUGUGGAAAUUGUAGAGUGAUGCCAACGCAAAUAGAGUGCAUAUGUUGCCACGAGAUAGGAAACUGCCGCCAAUUUUUGUCUCCGUCUGUGAACUGUAUUAUAGAUAAUGAAGAUUUUUCAAAAGUUUGCCUGGAGCGUGCGGUGCUGAGAACUGCGCUUGUUGCCCGCCUGGACAAGCGAGGUCACCGAGGCAAUUUGCCAAGGAUCCUUGAAAAUGAAUCCUACAGAUACUCUGCAUAUCGUCUCUUCACCUAUUGGAUUCAUGGUCUUCUGGGAAGGGGUGUGAGGAAGGUGAUACCAUCUUGCGCCGUCUUGAAAAUUCAUUCCAUCUACCCAGCAGCGGACGGUGUUUAUACAGGAUUUAGUAUUGGCGAUGAUGGUGAGCAGCAGAUGGUACCAGAACAUUUUGCAAUAUGAACCUUUUUGCUAGCCUACAGCAUACAGUUAUAUGACCCUUCUUAUAUCCCAAAUGAAACUCCUGCCUUCUUUUGCUCUCAGUUAAUAUGUGUACAUUAAGACAAUUUUGUGAUAAGCUGUCAUGGGAUGAAGUUGGGAAUCAAAUGGGAGCUUUGAAAGUGAUUUUUUUCUUCCCACUUUGUAAUUCAGAAAAUAGCAUUAAAAACUGACAAACUAAAGCUUUUUGAAGAAUAAAAUCACAUCAUUGAACAUAAUGCUAGUAUGUAGAACAAAACAAAUGCUAUAUAAGUCUGAAAACAUUUUGUAGCAACAUUCUUUUAGCUCAUGAGAUUUCACUCUGAUAAUGAGUGCAUGUUGAAAAGAUUCAGUAUGCAGUACACAUGUACAGUAUAAUGUCCCAUAAUGUAUGUCCAUACAUUAUUUUCCUACUUUGCUGUAUCAAAUGCCUAUUCAUUUUAUUGUAAAUGUGUCUACAUGUAAUUGAAGUUUUCAUAUAUAUUUUUGUAUACUGUAUAAUGAAUUACAUCAAAAUAGUGAUUUUACACCUUUCCAGGAUUAAAAAUGAAAUUACAUGUACAUAUAACUCUUGCAUUCAUUCUAAAAUUUUAGGGUCAGACAGGAAUAUCUAGAGCUUUAGAGACAAUGGCGGUUCAUACAUUGUACAUGCAGAAUUCACAUCAUGUACUACUGUACCAUAAUGUUUGAGCAUGUGUCUAGUUUUUGUAAUUUAAGAAUACAUGUACAUGUUUUUAAAGUUUGAAUCCAUUGUCUGAUUCGUAAUACACAGAACAUUAAAUUCUGUAAUAUGAAAACAUAUUGUGUGAAAGAAAUUACCUGGUACUUGCAUGUAAGAACUUACGGUACACAGAACUUGACAGAAGGGCAAAUUUACAGUUUGAAUUUCCAAAUUAUAAGCUGGAGGAUGCCCACGUUAGCUUUCUUAUAAUCUUUCAUUUUAAUUUGUUUUCUGUAUUGCAGUACAUGUAAGAUUUACUUAUGUUUGUUUUAUGCAUUACGUUUUUAUAUGACAAAUUUGACAAAGAAGGUUUUGGCAACACAAUGGGAGUAGGUCAUUCAUUGCAUGCAGUUCAAUGUUUAUAAAAAAAUUAAAAGGUUGUACAUGUACAUUGCAUUAUGAAAGAUUAUUGACUCUACAUGUACCUGUAAGGUGUUCUCUCUGGAUUUGUCUACAUGUUGUACUUUUAACAACGGAUACAUUAUAUUGUUGAAGGCUGCAUGUACAUGUAAGUUUUUAUUUUUUUAAAGGUCAAGAAAACUACCAUAACUUGAGUGCAGAAUAGCAUUGUCUUGUUUCUACGAGAGAAAAAAUUGUCAAUUUACACAUGACUGUCUGGAACCAUAUAAAAAAAGACAUUGUGAAAAUUAUUUGUUUCACAUUGGCUCCUGGCAUACACAUUUUAGUGAGAAAAAUUAUGUUUAUAAAGCUUUUUGUUGUUGUUGUUGAAUGCAAGGUCAAUUGCUCCAGUUGGGAGGUUUUAAAUGUUGCAUGGCUGUUCACCUUUGUCAAAACCUUGAUAUACAUAUACAUUUAAACCAGUAUUCAGUGGUGACUGGUCAUAUUUGUUGCAAAUCUUGCUCACCCCUCAUAUAUGUUUAUGUUAAUAAUUUUUUUUCUCCAAAUUUUAAUGCAUCUUUAGGGAAAUGGGUGGGUGGGUGGUCAGCCUUGCCUCAGUCAUUCUAUUUUGCAGAUAAAAUGACAUGCAGUUCAGGCACUCUGUCCCUUCCUUUUUUUCUUUGAAGUAAUUACAUUUAUUUUCGACAUAUUUCUCAGAUGAGAUAUGAUUAUGCAGAAAAAAUAUAUAUGGUUGCACUGCCAUUGUUAUGACAAAUACAUGUACAGUUGGAAUAUAUUAAAAUAGGAAUGAAAUGUUGCAUUUUGUAAUAGAUGUUGGUACACUAACUUGUAUUACUUUGUAAAGCAAUUUUAAUUUAAAUUGACACACUCGAGUUAGAAUGUACAUCAUACAUGCGACCUACAUUAUGCAUGCAUGUGUGUUUUGAAAUGGAUUUGCUGUAAUGGCAACCUGUUAUUACAAUGCUUAUGGUAAAAAAUGAAGAUCAAAUUUCUUUUUUAAUUUUGUAGUAUCGUUUAGAAAAUGCAGCACACACUAAGUACUGUAUCAUUAGUCUUUGAAUGAAAAGGUGCACAACACACUUUUAGAAUAUAUCGGACAUUUAGUAACAGUCACUAAAACAGAGAUAACUGCUUAUUUUCCUUUUUUGUAAAGUGCUUGUGAACUGUUCCAUACUCAUGGGGCUAGGAUUAUCAAUCACCAAUUUAUUUUCAGUUGUUUCUGUACAUGUAAAUAAAUGCCAUUUUAAUUUGUUUUACAUGUAUAUUAAAAUCAUUAUUGUAGAAAAAAGUUACAAUUUCUAUCAUAUAUGUGUGUCAUUUUAUGUUAAUAAAAUUUGAAAAAUACUUGACUCAAAACA